UUUGUGGGCUGAGGGGCUGCUGGGGCUGCGUGGUGUGGAUGUGGCGGCUGUGGAGCUGCCUGCAGCCCACUGAGCUCAGUGCAGCGUGUGGAAGCUGACUGAAAUAUCAACACCCAUCUGCCUUCAGGACUGCAGCAGAAGCAGAGCUCAGGGCAUGAAGUAUUUAAGUAUGUAUCACUUUCUGAAUUCAUUGAGCCUGAAGCCUUCCUAAAACAAGGUGUACUUUGUGCAAACAAAUGGGUGAUUCAGGAGGUAGAAAACAGCAUUCCCCUCCACCAUGAGCUCUUAGAAAAAAAAACCCUCUAUUUAUUACACAAGGACAAAUCCUUCUAAUCCAGUACCCAAAUGAUCCGCACUUGGUUUGGAAGCAUGCAAAGAGAAGGUGAGAAUAUUGUAAUGCUUCCCUGUUUUCUUUUGGUGUAAAGAAAUUUCUGCAUAAGGAGUUCCUAAGCUGGGUUGUUGUCUUUCUAAUUUUUCUCAAUGGAUUUGUGCCUUUGUUCAGCCUUAUUAAAUGAGGUGACCAAAAUACAACAUACAGAAUACCACAAUCUUUUUUUCUACUGGUGCAAUUAUCUUUCUUUUCUGAUUCUGUAAAUCCUUCACAUAUUAUUAGUGCUCUCAAAACAAGUGAGUACUGACAUUCAUAGAGUUGCCUAACAUAAGCCCGUGAUCUUAUUUGUUGUUGGUAAUUGUUACUUGAAAGUACCCCAAUAAACAAGGAUAGAGUUUUUUUCCCCCAAUGUAAAUAGCUUUAUGGACAUUCAGUUUCUUCUGCCAAUUUUAUUACCUAGCAACAGGGAUUCACCAUGGCUAGCAAUCCUUCCAGUGAUGUUUUCAUGUGUAUCUCAAAGCCGUGCUCAAGAAAUGAGAAGCCUGUAACUGGGAUGAGACACUUCAGGAGCCCUUGUAUAGCUGGAGAGAAAAAAUGUCCUGUGUGAAGUCAGGUUAACAGCAACUGGAGGAACCCAGUUGAUGAAGGGAAUAAAGAGAGGACAGAUGCUUCCACACUACUGUUAUUCUCCCUCUUCAUCUGCAUCUGCAAAUCCUAUGUGUCUUUUAUCAGUUGCUAAUCUAAGAUCUUUUCAUAUCAAUUUGAUCAAGACAUUAUGAACAUUCCUAGUGGAUUCUCUUGGAGAUUCUACUCAACAAACACAAAUCCUGUAAGUGUUCUUUGACACUAAUGAGCAACCAAUAUCCCCUGCCUCAUUAGGGCUUCCAUGGAAAUACCCUGUGACACAGCUAGAGCCACAUCAACUCGAGAGGCCUCUGAGCCUUAAGUGUGAAUAUCAGCCUCUCAUGUUAUACAGGUGAUACAGGUGUCCAAACACAGCUUUCCUCCACUGUGCCUGAUAUCAGUGGGGGACAUCCACCAAAAAAGCACGUGUAAUCAAGCUCUGGAUGUUUUGUCAAUCUGUAUCUUUAUAACAGCCCACUUUAAUCUCUGUGCUUGCCUUGGUACUUCUCGUUUCCCUUCUCUCUCCCCCAUGUUUUAUGGUGCCGAGCACAGCAUCAGCAUUUCGUAAACACAGAAUGUCUUCUGCACACACAAAGCUAAAUUUUAGUUAGUUUUAAUACAGUAGGCAGUUGCUUUGUUCAGUCUAAUUUAGUUGAUGCAUGAAAACUGAGAGGUA
ensembl:lncRNA